CAGAAGGGACACAAUUAGAUGUGCAUUUACAGAACAGAACUCCUGCUGGAGUGUGGAAAGAGGGAAGAGAUGGGAAGCCGCGAGUGAGAGAGGCAAUACAUUUUCAUAAUUUCUUGUUUUUUUCAUAAACAGUUUUUUCAUAAUUCUCAUUUCUUUUACUUGAAAUAGCAUCAUGGGCUGCGUGCGGUGUCUCACGCCUGUAAUCCCUGUAAUCCCAGGACUUUAGGACGCCAAGGCAGAUGGAUCUCCUGAGAUCAGGAGUUCGAGACCAGCCUGCUCAAUAAGGCGAAAUCCUGUCUCUAUUAAAAAUACAAAAAAUUAGCCGUGCGUUGUGGUGGCCGCCUGUAAUCCCAGCUACUCGGGAGGCUGAGGUUGCAGUGAGCCGAGAUGGCACAACUGCACUCCAGCCUGGGCUACAAGGGUGAAACUGUGUC